GAUGAACGCUGGCGGCGUGCCUAAUACAUGCAAGUCGAACGAACAGACGAUAAGCUUUCUCCUCUGCCGUUAGCGGCUGACGGAUGAGUAACACAUACAUCACCUUCCUCUAAUUCGUGGGUAACUUCGGGAAACCGGAGCUAAUAACAGAUAAUAUGUUGUACCGCAUGAUGCAAUAGUUAAAGACACUUUUGCUGUCACUUAUAGCUGAUGUCGGAUUAGCUAGUUGGCUGGGUAAGGGCCCACCAAGGCGACGAUCCGUAGCUGGUCUGAGAGGAUGAUCAGCCACACUGGAACUGAGACACGGUCCAGACUCCUACGGGAGGCAGCAGUGGGGAAUAUUGGACAAUGGGCGCAAGCCUGAUCCAGCCAUACCGCGUGGGUGAAGAAGGCCUUCGGGUUGUAAAGCCCUUUUGUUGGGAAAGAAAAGCAGCAGGUUAAUACCCCGCUGUUCUGACGGUACCCAAAGAAUAAGCACCGGCUAACUUCGUG
rnacentral:rRNA from 1 species